rnacentral:lncRNA from 1 species
GCAACCUUUCCCUAGUUUUCUCAGCCAGAAUCUUCUGAAACCGCAAAUCUAUUCAAAGACAAUCCACAAACUUCAAAAUCUGUCAGCAAACAAGCACAGAAUGUAAUUGGAGUGAUAAAUUCCAAACUGAGGAAAGCCAGGGUUGCAUAUAUGAGAGUCUAUCUUCGCUGCUUUGUUUAAUCAACUAUUUAGCUACAAAAUUGUGAGAACCUCGCUAUGUUUGUUGGAGUACAUAACCUACAAAACAUACUUAUGAAUAGAGCAACAUAUUUUACCCUCAAAAAGCGAGAGCAAAAGGUAACGGCUUGGAGAUUGAACUCUCUCAAUCCAUACUGGCAAUCGUAACAUCAGUAUUUUGCUUAUUUGGGCAAGCUGUUGAGAUAUGACCCUUUUGACCACAUUCAUAGCAGGUCCUCCUCUUUAUCUUACCACUAGAUGGAACCGGUGCGUCAAUACUACUGGCUUCAAUUCUUACAACUUCGGCAGUAGACAUUGUGGGGAACUCAUCAUAACGGCGGGCUUUGCCAAUUAUAGGAGUUGAACCAACCUCAGGCUUACUUGCUUCCUCAAAUGUUGUUCUCGGGCCAGCCAUGGUACGAGCGUCUGCCUGCUGAUCCAUCUUCUGUGACAUCAUUGAGACAUUAUUUGCACUGGGAUUUGUAACAUCAGUAUUUUGCUUAUUCGGGCAGGCUGAUGAGAUAUGACCCUUCUCUCCACAUUCAUAGCAGGUCCUCCUCUUUAUCUUACCACUAGAUGGAACCGGUGCUUCAAUACUACUGGCUUC